GUCAGCUACUUCGUUUCUAAGAGAUUUUCUUUCUUUCUUUUUUUCCUGCUUCCUGUAAUUUUCUUAGAAGGAAUAAAGAUAUAAAGGAACCUACUUUCAUGCAAAUGAAUUGCACUUUUUGGCUCAGGACAAUCAUUGGGGUUAAAUCGAUGGCUUGGUCUUCAUUCAAUCAUUCUGCAUUAUGACGUCUUCAGAUGCUGCCCCCAAAGGAUGUCAGGCCUGUUAUAAACAGCAGAAACAUCCUCUUGAGAGCAGCAGGCAUGGUUGCUGGGAUCAGGACUAGACAGAGCUCCAGCCCCAUCACUUACUUUGCAGUUGUGACUGCACUGCGGGGUCACAGGGGUCAUGAGCUGUGAUUGCCGGCGGGCUCCCUGCUCCGAGGACCCAGAAGACUCUGAAGUCCACCAUGAAUUUCUGCAGCUAGGGAGAAGUGUCCUCAAGGGAAAUCAAGGCCAAGAUUUGCCCCAAACAACUUCUCUCCAUCUGCCUUCUUGGUGAGCGUGUGGCGGGAAGACGACCGCCCCCACGUCCAUGGUCUCAGCUCGGUUUCAGAGCUGCUUUUCCUAAUAAAUAAACACUCAG
ensembl:lncRNA